AGGGGAGCCGCAGGGAAACCGAGUCUUAACUGGGCGUUAAGUUGCAGGGUAUAGACCCGAAACCCGGUGAUCUAGCCAUGGGCAGGUUGAAGGUUGGGUAACACUAACUGGAGGACCGAACCGACUAAUGUUGAAAAAUUAGCGGAUGACUUGUGGCUGGGGGGGAAAGGCCAAUCAAACCGGGAGAUAGCUGGUUCUCCCCGAAAGCUAUUUAGGUAGCGCCUCGUGAACUCAUCUUCGGGGGUAGAGCACUGUUUCGGCUAGGGGGUCAUCCCGACUUACCAACCCGAUGCAAACUACGAAUACCGAAGAAUGUUAUCACGGGAGACACACGGCGGGUGCUAACGUCCGUCGUGAAGAGGGAAACAACCCAGACCGCCAGCUAAGGUCCCAAAGUCAUGGUUAAGUGGGAAACGAUGUGGGAAGGCACAGACAGCCAGGAUGUUGGCUUAGAAGCAGCCAUCAUUUAAAGAAAGCGUAAUAGCUCACUGGUCGAGUCGGCCUGCGCGGAAGAUGUAACGGGGCUAAACCAUGC
rnacentral:rRNA from 1 species